UCAGACCCAUCCUUCAUCAUAUCUGUUUCAGCAACAGCAGAGACAUCACUCAAUCUUACAUCCCCGUCCAGUUCAACUGAGUUAGCAGGUAAGACACUGUACCCCUCUCCAACCACCUCAUCUCUUAGGUCUUCUUUCUUGCCCAGCUGGAUGUCCACAUCAUCAUCUUCUUCCUCAUGUCUACUGUUUAUGUCUGUCAGUUGGUCAUCUGCAAGUGCCUCUGAAAUUUUCUUCCCUGCGUUCUUCCAUUCAGUGGAUUGAGAUGUACACUGAUCAGACGUUAAUUUAGAAAUUAUUAUUUGUUCCUCACAAACCCUCA
rnacentral:misc_RNA from 1 species